rnacentral:rRNA from 1 species
UUGCAUAUCAUUAAGCGGAGGAAAAGAAACCAACAGGGAUUGCCUUAGUAGCGGCGAGUGAGCGGCACAGCUCAAAUUUGAAAUCUGGCGUAUUCUGCGUCCGAGUUGUAAUUUGAAGAAGGAUACUUUGGGGUUGGCUCUUGUCUAUGUUUCUUGGAACAGAACGUCACAGAGGGUGAGAAUCCCGUGCGAUGAGAAGCCCAAUUCCGUGUAAAGUGCCUUCGAAGAGUCGAGUUGUUUGGGAAUGCAGCUCUAAGUGGGUGGUAAAUUCCAUCUAAAGCUAAAUAUUGGCGAGAGACCGAUAGCGAACAAGUACAGUGAUGGAAAGAUGAAAAGAACUUUGAAAAGAGAGUGAAAAAGUACGUGAAAUUGUUGAAAGGGAAGGGCUUGAGAUCAGACUUGGUAUUUUGUAUGUCUUGCUUUCGGGUGGGGCCUCUGCAUUUUACUGGGCCAGCAUCGGUUCGGGUGGUAGGACAAUUGCAAAGGAACGUGGCACUGCUUCGGUGGAGUGUUAUAGCCUUUGUGGAUACUGCCUGUCUGGACCGAGGACUGCGUCAUUUGACUAGGAUGCUGGCAUAAUGAUCUUAAGUCGCCCGUCUUGAAACACGGACCA